CCUACGGGAGGCAGCAGUGAGGAAUAUUGGUCAAUGGACGCAAGUCUGAACCAGCCAUGCCGCGUGCAGGAAGACUGCUCUAUGAGUUGUAAACUGCUUUUGUACGAGGGUAAACUCAGAUACGCGUAUCUGUCUGUAAGUACCGUACGAAUAAGGAUCGGCUAACUCCGUGCCAGCAGCCGCGGUAAUACGGAGGAUUCAAGCGUUAUCCGGAUUUAUUGGGUUUAAAGGGUGCGUAGGCGGUCGGAUAAGUUAGAGGUGAAAUCCCGAGGCUCAACUUCGGAAUUGCCUCUGAUACUGGUCGGCUAGAGAGUAGUUGCGGUAGGCGGAAUGUAUGGUGUAGCGGUGAAAUGCUUAGAGAUCAUACAGAACACCGAUUGCGAAGGCAGCCUACUAAGCUACUUCUGACAUUGAGGCACGAAAGCGUGGGGAGCAAACAGGAUUAGAUACCCGGGUAGUC
rnacentral:rRNA from 1 species